UACAGAGGUGGCAAGCGUUGUUCGGAAUUACUGGGCGUAAAGGGCGCGUAGGCGGCCUACUAAGUCAGACGUGAAAUCCCCCGGCUUAACCUGGGAACUGCGUCUGAUACUGGAAGGCUUGAGGAUGGGAGAGGGAUGUAGAAUUCCAGGUGUAGCGGUGAAAUGCGUAGAUAUCUGGAGGAAUACCGGUGGCGAAGGCGGCCUGCUGGGCAGUUGCUGACACUGAGGCGCGACAGCGUGGGGAGCAAACAGG
rnacentral:rRNA from 1 species